rnacentral:lncRNA from 1 species
AACAACAGUAAUAUAAUAAUUAAUGGAAGCGAGUAACGUGACAAAGUAAUAAAAGAACUACAGAGAGAACACAAGCAAUGGGGAUUUCAGAACUUGGUUGGAUAGUUCUUUCAUGCAUUUUUACAGUACCAAAUAGAUUAGUAAGGGUAAAAGAAGAAAAAGAAGAGGAUUCCAUUCCUGGUGAUUCCACUAAGGAAGCAUCAGGUUAGAAUAAGCAGAUUUGAGAAUUCUAUACCAAUUUUCCAGCAGAAAAACAUCAAGCUUCUGUUCCUGGCUCCUGCAUUCUCUCUUGAAAAAGUAACAAAGAGUGCCUCCUCCAGUUCCCUACUUCAGUCACACAAUUCUCUUCAAGAAUACUCUUUAUUAUCUUUCUCUAACUUUCUCAUCGAGAUGUUGAUACAGAGUAUUGUUCCAAAAACCUGAUCAAAUCAAAAUGUCAUGCCAUGUUUUGCAGAAUAGAUAUAUGAGGCUCAACGUGAGUACUCCUAGCCAGACAAGAGUUAUCUUGGCAUGUCGCUCACCAUAAAUCACAUUGUGGAACGUGGUCAUCAACAAGUCAAGGAUCCAGGAAAAAUAUUCCAUCACGGGCCUCUAGAACGCUACAAAUUUUGCAAUCUACACCACAAAAUCAUAUUUCUCGAAAUGCCCGAGGAAUUCCAACUCAUCGUUGUACCUGUCAGCCUAAAUGUUAUUUCAGGCACAGAUCCCAAAAAAGAAAGCACAACUACUUACUUAUGACAGUAAGACCUUGAAGAGGAUUUUCCAAGCACAAUUAAAAGGUUAAUAUCAAAGCAAGAGUAACAUACUAUGAUUUCCAAUGGGCAAGCUAGAAUACAGUGAAGAACAAUCUGGCAUUAGAUCAGGAACAGAUAAUAAUUCAAAAAAUUUAACAGGGGUCCAUUAUAAUUCUUAAUUUUAUUUUAAGGAGGAAAUGAAAUAAAUAGAUAAGAACAAGAAUUUUCAAUCAGAAAUCCAAAGACAUUAGUUUAUGGGCGAAAAACUUCACGUCAUAUAUUUGACCUGGUCAGCGGAGAUAAAGCCUUUGAAGGCCAUGACGUGUUGAACUUACCCUAAAAGGUCGAGGUCAAGUAAGGAAGGCAAAUUGUCGUCGAGGACGAGGUGGCUCGACAGAAGACGAAUACCCGACCUCAGUACGCAGUAAUGGCUAGUUUAAGGAUUUAGAUUUCCUAAGAGAAUAUUCUUCUCUGUUGUACUAUUUAGGGUUUUAUGGCCCAUAUACCCUUAUAAAUAGGAAGAGAUAGAGAUGUAGUUCUAGAAAGGGAAUCAAACAUUUCUGUAAAGAACAACAUUGACACUAUCUGUGAAGAUUCUCUCUUUAUUGAAUACAUACAAAGUUUACCUUUAUAUUCCUUAUCUUCUAUCUUUCUCUCCCGAUCCAAGAAGAAUCGGAAAAUUCAAUUGCUUAUCAUCAUCCAUCAUUGUCAGAACGCUCAAUGGAAAAUCUCACCCUUGUCGGGUGAACCUUGUUCUAUUUAUUACUUAAAUGUCAUUUAUUGCUAUCUUUCGCGUUCUUAAGUCAUUAUUGCUCUCAGACACUCUUAUCUUACAACACACAUCUAAUACUCUCCAUAAAAAUAUCAGAUCUGCUACUUGGAUAUUAAUAUUGACUUGGAUUAAUCAUUUUCUCUACAAAUCUAAUUGUAUUUAAACCUAGAUCUAAAUUUUGGGUUAUACAGUUUGGCGUCAUGUGUGGGGGAUUUCUUAGUCAAAUUUUUAGUUUCCAUUCGGAUUUACAACUUUCGUGACUUGUUAACCUAACGUGUUGUAAAGUUAUCCUUUCUCUCUACGAAGCCGCAGUGUCGACCAUAGAGGACCUCGAUCCCGUCCUGCUAGACCACAGCGACCCCAGCAAAAAGGCCUACAUUGGUUGCAAACUCCAAAACCCAGGUAAAUUUAGUCAAUUCUUAAUAAUUAGCAGAUUUAUUUGCCUUUAGCCAUGCAGAUAGGCCCUGCAUCACCAAAGAGAUAGCCACGCACAAGCUAAAUGUCGACCCCUACUACCCCCAAUAAGGCGGGUCCAGCGAAAGUUCAACCCCACCAUCAAUGAAGCCGUCCACGAGGAGGUAGAGAAAUGAUUAGCCAAUGGCUCUAUUAGGGAGUCUAAGUACCCCAAGUGAAUUGUCAACGUGGUAAUGGUCAAAAAGAAGAACGGGAAAUGGAUGAUGUGCGUGGACUUACCGAUCCGAACAAAGUCUGCCCAAAAGAUUCUUUCUCAUUGCCACACAUCGACCAACUCAUCGACACGAUAACAAGACAUGAGUUGCUAAGUUUCCUGGACACUUACUCAGGCUACAAUAAGAUACUCAUGGAGGAAGACGACCAAGAAAAAACUACGUUCAUCACUCACAGGGGAACGUACUGCUACAGGGUCAUGCCAUUCGGGUUGAAGAACGCGGGAGCUACCUAUCAAAGGUUGGUCAUGAAAAUGUUCAAAAACCGGGCAUAUCUGCAUGGCUAAAGGCAAACAAAUUUGCGUUAGCUAUUAAGAAUUGACUAAAUUUACCUGGGUUUUGGAGUUUGCAACCGAUGUAGGCCUUUUUGCUAGGGUCGGUGUGGUCUAGCAGGACGGGAUCGAGGUCCUCUAUGGUCGACCCUACGGCUUCGACCGUCUCUAGGUCCAUAAUGGUAUCUUUGGCUUCGACCUGCAGGGACCUCGACCCUGCUGAUUACUUUGCUUCCUUUUCUUUCUUUUUUUGGGUCGUCGUACCGUUCUGGGCGAUCCAAUAGCAUUCCCGAGAUGUGUGUUGUUCUCGUCGUAUGUUGAAUAUUCCCCGGGGGUCAGGAACUUGAUCACUUGGUACAAGCUGGAGGGGGCUGCCCUCAUAGGAUGUCGACCUAUGAUGGCGGUGAAUGCGGUAACCUAAUCCAUGAUAUGGAAUGUGGUCUCUAGCGUCACCCCACCAGCAAGGACGAGGAGUGUGAUCUUGCCAGAAGUUCGUUCAGCUGCAUUGUUAAAACCGGUUAGUGUAAUGCAGUGGGACACUAUCUUAUCCUCAAGUCGCAUCUGUACGAGGAGCCGAGGAUGGAUGAUGCACGCUCCACUUUCGUCGUCUACCAUAAUUCUCCUAGUAUCAGUAUCAAGCAUCCAUAAAGUAAUGACAAGUGCAUCAUUGUGAGGGAAAGUCAAACCGUCGACAUCUGACUCGUCGAAGAUGAUACUUUCUUUGAGGUCGUCAUACCAUUCGUGGGUGAUUGAUCUCUUGAGUUUGUGAGUGGUGGUGGACUUGAUGUCAUUGAUGGAGGCGUCGUCACUGCCACCAAUAAUCAUGUUGAUGGUACGAGCGGGCGAGGGCCGCUUUGGUGGGCCUGGGCGUUCUCGACCCCUUACUAAGGUGUUCCUGCCUUUGUCGCUGAGUAAUUCUUUGAGGUGUCCCUGCUGCAGCAGGUUCGCUACUUCUAAUCUUAGAGCGUGGCAAUCUUCCAUUUUGUGUCCACGUUCUUGGUGGAACUCACAAAAGGCGUCUGACUUCCUGGUGCCUGGGUCGGACCUCAUCUUUGGUGGUCACUUCACCUUUUUUCCGAGCUUCUCGAGUGUGUAGACCACCUCUGUAGGUGACACACAAAAGUUAUGAGCAGAGAGUAAGGGGCGCAUACCUUGAUCGUUUUUGUGAAUGUCUGAUCUCGACCUAGAAGUAUCGUCUUCACAGCGGAAGUUAGGGACGGGUGCCCUGAUGUAAGGUUGAUGCCGAUCUCUGCCCCAUUGCAGUACUGGAGGGUCUCUCCUCGCGUUGUCCCUGAGUUCCCUCCGGGGUUCGGAUUGUAUUGAGGUGAGUCGUUGGGUUGGCCCAUUGAGGUCUUUGUCAUCUGCCCUGACCUCGGCACAGUAGGCAUUGAUCUCGUCCCACAUAGCCGGCGGGUACUUCAUUAAUCGACUCAGUAAUUUUCUGGUCGCCUUUGAGCCUUCUUUGUGCAGCCCGUUUUGACAGGCUGCUAUGGCCAUUCCUUCGGAGAGGUUUGGUAAAGUCAUCCUCACCAUGUGGAAUCGGGCUAGGAACAUUCACCCUCGUUUAGGCUUUCUUGGCCUUAGCAUGUGCCGUCACGAACUUGUCUUCUAUCUCUUCGAAUGUUUCUAUGGAAUAGGCCCGCAGCUGCGAAUACCACGUUAACGCCCCUCCUGUGAGGGUUCCACCUAAUUUUUUCAACAAGAUGGAGGAAACUUGUUCUUCGGUGAGGUCGUUGUCUUUUACGGCGGUGACAUAGUGAGUCGCAUGGUCUUCGAGAUCAGUCGUUCCGUCGUAGAUUCGGAGGUACAGGGGCAUCUUGAAAGUUUUUGGUAUGGCAUGAGAAGUCGCUUCCUCCCUGUACGGCUAUUCCACAAACCUACCAGCGUCUCUUUUUGGAAGCAGUUUGGGGGCAUUUUGUCUACCCGUUCAUGAUGCUCCUUCAUUUGUUCCUUGAGCAUCUUGUUUUCGUUUUCCAUUUCCUCCAUUCUCUUUAGCACGGCGGCGAAGACGCUGUCACCUGCACUGUCAAACAAUUGUAUGAGCGAUACCUGAAGUAGGAGGGUCGGGUAGCUCGCCUUGCUCGUUCCUACGCUGUGUUGCAUGGAUCCCGGUGGUCUCCAUGGUCGCGCAUGGAGCUUGCUUGCUUAUUACGCUGUCCAGAGUGUCGCUCAACCAUGUUUUGAGGAGCUUUUUCAUGGCGGGUGGCGCUCCCUCUCCCGCAGACGUGGAAGCCCCUAUCCCAUUCGGUUUAGUGGUGUUACAAAAGGGUGUAGGUAGGUGACUUCCCUAAUCUGGGGGAGGCCGUAGGGUUUACCUCCUCAUCUUGGGUUUCAUACCCUUCGUCGAUGUCACUCAUAAGGUUGAGCGGGACAUUUUCCGUUGCCUUUGCUCUGUUUCCUUGGUUACUUGCCGUAGAAUCCUUGUAUACGCAAAGAGAAAGGAUAACUUUACAGCACGUUAGGUUAACAAGUCACGAAAGUUGUAGAUCCGAAUGGAAACUAAAAUUUGACUAAGAAAUCCCCACACAUGGCACCAAACUAUAUAACCCAAAAUUUAAAUCUAGAUUUAAAUACAAUUAGAUUUAUAGAGAAAAGGAUUAAUCCAAGUCAAUAUAAUAUCCGAGUAGGAAAUCUAGUAUUUUUAUGGAGAGUAUCAGAUGUGUACUAUAAGAUAAGAGUGUCUUAAAGCAAUAAUGGCUUAAGAACGUGAAAAUAGCAAUAAAUGGCAUUUAAGUAAUAAAUAGAACAAGGUUCACCUGACAAGGGUGAGAUUUUACACUGAGCUUUCUGGCAAUGAUGGAUGAUGAUAAGCAAUUGAAUAUUCUGAUUCUUCUUGGAUCGGGAGAGAAAGAUAGAAGAAAAGGAGUAUAAAGGUAAACUUUGUAUGUAUUCAACAAAGAGAGAAUCUUCACGGAGAAUGUCAAUGUUAUUCAUUACAGAAAUGUUUGAUCCCCUUUUCUAGAACUUCAUCUCUUCCUAUUUAUAAGGGUACAUGGGCCAUAAAACCCUAGAUAGUACAACAGAGAGGAAUAUUCACUAGAAUAUUCCCUUAGGAAAUCAAAAUCCUUAAAUUAGUCGUUACUGCGUACUGAGGUCGGGUACUCGUCCUCGUCCUCGCCUUAUGUCGAGCCAACUCGUCCUCGACGAAAAUUUGUCUUCCUUACGUGACCUCGACCUUUGGGUCAGGUCGACACGUCACAACAUCGACACGUCAUGGCCUUCAAAGGCUUUAUCUCCAUUGACCAAGUCAAAUAUAUGACGUGAAGUUUUUCGUCCAUACAAUUAGUAAACAAACAAAAACUAGAUUAGAAGUCAUAUUCUGACAAUGCUAUGCAGCUUCAUUCCAACUCCCACCACCAUAAGCCCGGAAAACAUUACCUACUCUUGAAUUAAAGAGAAAGAAUGAGUAGGGAAUACUAGUUUCAUCUAAAUCAAAUCAUCUACAAACUGGAAUUCCUAGUAGCAAAAUGAAGAUAGUAACACGUUCCUAUUAUUAGAUCAAUAGAGUUCAAUGUCUACGGUGUUAUUCAUUUCUGUUGCAUUUAUAUGCAGUGGCUGAAAAUGUACAAGUAGUCCUGGAUGUCUCCUACUAUGAGCGAAAGAAGCUCAUAAGGUCCGGAUGUUUCCUAUGUCCUGUACAAUGGUCCUCCUCUUACACCAAAAAUGUAAAUUUUGUAAGUAUCUAAAUAUUGUAAGCAUGACAGUACAUAUGACUUGCAAAUCAUUUAUUGUAUGAACCAUUUUUUCCAGGAGAAUAAAAUAAGAGUAUGGAAGAACAAUUCAAACUCUUUCAGAUAUUUUUUCUUUGAACGGGUAAGUAAUGAUUAUAUUGAUAAAAAAGAUAGUCUCAAACUCUUGCAGGUAAGUUUCUAGGACAAUAUCAGCAACCUCAUUUAUCUGGCAUACUUUUAUCUUUUGGAUCUUUAUACUUACAGUUUCAUCAUUUAAAUGAUUCAAUUAACUCAGAGCUAGCAUCAUGUCUAACCGACCAUCUAUCUAAGGUUCUCAUAAAGUUGAACCUUCCUACAAAGGGCAAACAAUCUCCCCAAGAGCUCAAAUUACCAUUUUAUUUUGACAUUCAUGCAUGGCUCCUCACAACAACUCUAUAUCUUCCAUGCAUUUGAGCAGUAUUUCAGUUUAAUCUUGUAUUGAUUCAAGAACAUUAAUCUAUCCAUCACAGACCCCUCGCAAAACUAACUCAACUGUUACAUGAUACUCAGGGACCUGAGUACAUUAAUAUGUUGUGUAUCAUAUUAUACAUCAGUUGACAGAUUUUAGUGGUAAAGACUCAACAGCGAAAUGAACAUCACCAGAUAUUGGAUGAAAUCAACCAUCAUUUCUCGGAAAUAACAGCUCAUCCAUUGACACCAUUAUGACGUAUAUCUCAGUAUAAUCACAUAGAAGGAUUGCACGAAGAAAAUGAAAAAACAAGAACUAAAGAACUGUUAUCUAAUUUCACCUUUUGCAUCAGUUGCGAGUUGCGACUAUGUCUGAGCACAGAAGAUUGUUUUUGUGGCGCAAAAGAGAAGCAGACACAUCCUCCAUUGAGUUGCACCCAUUCAAUAUGACUAACCAAUCCUUGAUGCACACAAAAAAAUUUAUGAAGAUGAGAUAACCUCCAUAUAACUCGUAUCUUUAACUACUCUAACCAAAAGAGAGAAAGAGUGUCAAGAGAAGAAAAGCACACACCUGCAUUGCACUGGAACCAAGAACCACAAAGAUUUUCGCUCCCUCUCGAAGAACAGGGUACUCAAAAGUAGUUUAAGUGUGAAAUAACAAUGACAGAAUACGGGGUACCAAAAGCAAUGACGGAAUGAGUCUAUUAGACCACUCUCAAAAUUCUCGGCCAU